UACGAAGGGGGCUAGCGUUGCUCGGAAUCACUGGGCGUAAAGGGUGCGUAGGCGGGUCUUUAAGUCAGGGGUGAAAUCCUGGAGCUCAACUCCAGAACUGCCUUUGAUACUGAGGAUCUUGAGUUCGGGAGAGGUGAGUGGAACUGCGAGUGUAGAGGUGAAAUUCGUAGAUAUUCGCAAGAACACCAGUGGCGAAGGCGGCUCACUGGCCCGAUACUGACGCUGAGGCACGAAAGC
rnacentral:rRNA from 1 species